rnacentral:rRNA from 1 species
AUUGAACGCUGGCGGCAUGCCUUACACAUGCAAGUCGAACGGCAGCGGACCUUCGGGUGCCGGCGAGUGGCGAACGGGUGAGUAAAGUAUCGGAACGUACCUUUCAGUGGGGGAUAACGUAGCGAAAGUUACGCUAAUACCGCAUAUUCUGUGAGCAGGAAAGCAGGGGAUCGCAAGACCUUGCGCUGAUUGAGCGGCCGAUAUCAGAUUAGCUAGUUGGUGAGGUAAAGGCUCACCAAGGCGACGAUCUGUAGCGGGUCUGAGAGGAUGAUCCGCCACACUGGAACUGAGACACGGUCCAGACUCCUACGGGAGGCAGCAGUGGGGAAUUUUGGACAAUGGGGGCAACCCUGAUCCAGCCAUGCCGCGUGAGUGAAGAAGGCCUUCGGGUUGUAAAGCUCUUUCGGCCGGGAAGAAAUCGCGCAGGCUAAUACCCUGUGUGGAUGACGGUACCGGAAUAAGAAGCACCGGCUAACUACGUGCCAGCCGCCGCCGUAACAC